rnacentral:rRNA from 1 species
UACGUAGGGUCCGAGCGUUGUCCGGAAUUAUUGGGCGUAAAGGGCUCGUAGGCGGCCAACUAAGUCGGACGUGAAAUCCCUCAGCUUAACUGGGGAACUGCGUCCGAUACUGGAUGGCUUGGAUUUGGGAGAGGGAUGCGGAAUUCCAGGUGUAGCGGUGAAAUGCGUAGAUAUCUGGAGGAACACCGGUGGCGAAGGCGGCAUCCUGGACCGGUAUUGACGCUGAGGCGCGAAAGCCAGGGGAGACAAACGGG